rnacentral:rRNA from 1 species
AUUGAACGCUGGCGGCAUGCUUUACACAUGCAAGUCGAACGGCAGCACGGGGGCAACCCUGGUGGCGAGUGGCGAACGGGUGAGUAAUACAUCGGAACGUGUCCUGUUGUGGGGGAUAACCAGUCGAAAGACUGGCUAAUACCGCAUGAGCUCGGGAGAGGAAAGUGGGGGACCGCAAGGCCUCACGCGAUUGGAGCGGCCGAUGUCCGAUUAGCUAGUAGGUAGGGAAAGGCCUACCUAGGCAACGAUCGGUAGCUGGUCUGAGAGGAUGAUCAGCCACACUGGGACUGAGACACGGCCCAGACUCCUACGGGAGGCAGCAGUGGGGAAUUUUGGACAAUGGGGGCAACCCUGAUCCGGCCAUGCCGCGUGAGUGAAGAAGGCCUCGGUUGUAAGUAC